rnacentral:rRNA from 1 species
CUACGGGUUGCACCAGUGGGGAAUUUUGCGCAAUGGGGGAAACCCUGACGCAGCGAUACCGCGUGAGUGAAGAAGGCCUUUGGGUCGUAAAGCUCUUUUCUUGGGGAAGAUAGUGACGGUACCCAAGGAAUAAGCACCGGCUAACUCCGUGCCAGCAGCCGCGGUAAUACGGAGGGUGCAAGCGUUGUUCGGAUUUACUGGGCGUAAAGGGCACGUAGGCGGCACAGCAAGUUAAGGGUGAAAUCCCGGGGCUCAACUCCGGAACUGCUCUUAAAACUGCUGAGCUAGAGAUAGUCAGAGGCGGGUGGAAUUCCAGGUGUAGAGGUGAAAUUCGUAGAUAUCUGGAGGAACACCGGUGGCGAAGGCGGCCCGCUGGGGCUAUUCUGACGCUAAGGUGCGAAAGCGUGGGGAGCAAACGGGAUUAGAUACCCGAGUAGUC